rnacentral:tRNA from 1 species
GGUUAUGGCUCAGCGGUAGAGCGCUUGCCUAGCACAUGCGAGGCCCUGGGUUCGAUCCUCAGCACCA